AAAAUUAUUGUUCGCGAAUAUUCAAUUUGGAAUGCGAUUUUGUUAAUAAAAAAAAUACUUAUAACUUAUGCAAAACCCAAGAGAGGCAUUUAUAUUUAUUUCUUUUGCGUUCAUUUUCAAAUUCGCCGUGCAUAUAUUUUUGUGCAUGGCGCUUGAGAGGGCAUCACGUGACUAAAAACGACCAACCAACGACCUCGCUUCGGCCAUCUUGGCAUCUUCAUCUUGGCGACCUUGCCUUGCCGUGGAUUGUUUUUAGUUGUUUGUAUUAUUUGUGCUUUUUAAGAAUAUUUUUUUAAUUCGGAUACUUUUAUAAUAGCUUUAAUAGUAUUAAUAUUAACAUAGUGCAUAAAAUGGUGUCCUGUUUUUAACGCAGUUGGAGUAGCAGAAACAAAUGUAGAUAAAAAAAUCUGCAGGAAUAACGUUUCAAUUAUGACAGAAGCUCAAAACAAAUGACUGUGAAUGAAAAGCCCUAUUAAAAGCUUUCCAGAAGAUCCUGCGAAGAAGACAUGAAGUAUAGAUCAGAUUUGUUAAUAGAGGAGUAUGUUCAAAACACUUUUUAGAAAAAGAUAUUGACAGAACUUCACUUUCAUCUGUUCGUUUGAGAGACUGUGCUGUUCCAAUAGCUUAUGUCACACAGAAUCAGCUGAGAGAAGUGGUCUACAAAAAACCAGAAAGUAAACGGAAUAUGUGGCUACGAAAAGCAAAAGAAAGGUUUACAAAGCAAAUGUGACACAUUUUUUUAUAAUAUUUAGGAAUGUCAGCAAAUUACAUUAAAAAUGUAUGUAAAGAUUUUUUGCAAUAAAAAUGUUUAUAUUUA
rnacentral:lncRNA from 1 species